GAGAGAGAGAGAGAGAGAGAGAGAGAGAGAGAGAGAGAGAGAGAACUAUAAUUGUCUGUGUACUACUAUCUUAACCAAACCUAACCUAACCUAACCACACCACAGAGAGACCAGCGUGCCCUCGUGUCUUCCCUGCGGCUGUUGUCCCUGGUCCACGGUCUGAACUUCCAAGCCAGCUGCCGAGUGGGGUGGUUGAACUACGACGACUUUUACAUCCCAGAAAUUGCAGAGAAAAUUGAUAUUAGGAAUGAUUACUUGAACUGGAUGAACAGCAGGCUUCACCCGAUGUCCAGGAGGGAGAGUCCAAUCCUGUUCUGUGAGUAUCCAUUCUUGUUCGACCCUCAGGCCAAGAUGCUGCUGCUCAGGUGUGACGCCACUCGUCAGAUGAGAACGAGGUGCAGGACAAAUUAGGCAUUGUGUGUGAACUGGCAAUCUACAACUUCACCAUCAUCAACCUGCCCUUCCCAGUUGCACUGUACAAGAAGUUACUUGGAUGACCUCACCGACCUUGACCCGCAGCUGACCAGGUGUGUCACUUGUGCAGGGUCGUGUAGGGUCGCCCAGAAAGUCGUUUUCUGCUGUGUUUUGGGAGUGAAUGAGUGUGUUUUGAGGUGUUUUGGGUGUGUUUGGUGAUGUUUGAGUGUGUUAUAAGGUGUUUUGGGGGUGGAAAAAGUGUUUUUGGUGUGUGUGUAUUUGUUUGGGGGUGUUUUGGGAUGUUUUGUGGUGUUUUUGGGGUGUUUGUAAGUGUUUGUGAGUGAAAAAAGUACUUUCUCUCUCCCCUGAAUCUAGUGGAGUGAGGCAGGAGUACUCCUCCUCUUCCUCUUCCUCCUCCUCCCCCCUCCUCGUCACUUUUAUCUUAUUUUCUCCCUUCCAGUCGUUCCUGCG